CAGGCCUAACACAUGCAAGUCSGGGGGUAGAAGCUUUCSGGCUUUGAGACCGGCGCACGGGUGCGUAACGCGBAUGCAAUCUGCCUUACCCUAAGGGAUAGCCCAGAGAAAUUUGGAUUAAUACCUUAUAGUAUAUUUUUGUGGCAUCACAAGAUUAUUAAAGAUUUAUCGGUGUAAGAUGAGCAUGCGUCCCAUUAGCUAGUUGGUAUGGUAACGGCAUACCAAGGCUAUGAUGGGUAGGGGUCCUGAGAGGGAGAUCCCCCACACUGGUACUGAGACACGGACCAGACUCCUACGGGAGGCAGCAGUGAGGAAUAUUGGACAAUGGGCGCAAGCCUGAUCCAGCCAUGCCGCGUGCAAGAUGAAGCAUCUAUGGUGUGUAAACUGCUUUUAUACAGGAAGAAACCCCUUUACGUGUAGAGGAUUGACGGUACUGUAGGAAUAAGGAUCGGCUAACUCCGUGCCAGCAGCCGCGGUAAUACGGAGGGUCCAAGCGUUAUCCGGAAUCAUUGGGUUUAAAGGGUCCGUAGCGGCUCUUAUAAGUCAGUGGUGAAAUCCGGCAGCUCAACUGUCGAACUGCCAUUGAUACUGUAAGACUUGAAUUACUGUGAAGUAACUAGAAUAUGUAGUGUAGCGGUGAAAUGCUUAGAUAUUACAUGGAAAUACCAAUUGCGAAGGCAGGUUACUAACAUUAUAUUGACGCUGAUGGACGAAAGCGUGGGUAGCGAACAGGAUUAGAUACCCUGGUAGUCCACGCCGUAAACGAUGGAUACUAGCUGUUCGGAUGCAAAUCUGAGUGGCUAAGCGAAAGUGAUAAGUAUCCCACCUGGGGAGUACGAACGCAAGUUUGAAACUCAAAGGAAUUGACGGGGGCCCGCACAAGCGUUGGAGCAUUGUGUUAAUUCGAUGAUACGCGAGGAACCUUACCACGGCUUAAAUK
rnacentral:rRNA from 1 species